AAACCUUUGAAAAAUAGAAUAAUGGUCAUCACAACCAUAUUCGGGUUUGGGAGUGGAUUACGCAAGAGGAAGGUAUUAGCACCCCUCACAUCCGUUGUACUCAACGGGAACCUUUUAGUUCAAUAGUGUGUUUUGAGUGUUAAUUUAUGUUUGUUUGUUAUCUUUAGAUUAUUAAAAUUAUUAAAAAUAGAAAUGGAUGAGAACCUCAAAAGAAAGGGAAAUGGGAGGUUUUUUAUUAGUGUGCUCGCAAAGAUACAGCAAUCUCCUGCCUACGUAUCCUUAAAUAAGGAAAUCAGAGCAUUCGUAGUUCGGGAAACUACGGUUGAUUGGUGUCUUUUAAUGAACGACUGUUUAAAUCGCAUCCUAAAGGCUAAACGUUGGCUUGUCUACUCUCGGCGGAGGCUUAAGCAUUUAGUUUGUUGUGCGCAUUAGAAAGGAUUAACAGUGUUCUUUCUGAAAAGAGUUUCAGUCACACGGGGGUGACAAGUUGGAUUAAUAUGAGGGUGGAGAUGAAGUUAAGUGAAGGGUGUUGCGGCGAUGGUGGUUUGUCAGUGUGUAGGUGCGUUGGAGAUGAAGAGGAAAAGUCAUCUUCUUGUUUUCUUUUCUUUUUCGUUUUUUCUUUUUUUCAAGAGUGGCCGAGAGAGAUGUCGUGAGGGAUGUGUGGUAUUCCAGAAGAGGAACAGUGAGUGAGUGUAUUGAGAGGAUGAGAGUCGUUAAAGAGUGUGAGGUAGCGUG
rnacentral:lncRNA from 1 species